CCUACGGGUGGCAGCAGUGAGGAAUAUUGGUCAAUGGUCGGGAGACUGAACCAGCCAAGCCGCGUGAGGGAAGACGGCUCUAUGAGUUGUAAACUGCUUUUGUACGAGGGUAAACGCAGAUACGCGUAUCUGUCUGAAAGUAUCGUACGAAUAAGGAUCGGCUAACUCCGUGCCAGCAGCCGCGGUAAUACGGAGGAUUCAAGCGUUAUCCGGAUUUAUUGGGUUUAAAGGGUGCGUAGGCGGUCGGAUAAGUUAGAGGUGAAAUCCCGGGGCUCAACUCCGGCACUGCCUCUGAUACUGUCGGGCUAGAGUUUAGUUGCGGUAGGCGGAAUGUAUGGUGUAGCGGUGAAAUGCAUAGAGAUCAUACAGAACACCGAUUGCGAAGGCAGCUUACCAAACUACGACUGACGUUGAGGCACGAAAGCGUGGGGAGCAAACAGGAUUAGAUACCCCUGUAGUC
rnacentral:rRNA from 1 species